GAUCUGGUUCCACAACUGAAUUCAGUAACAAUCGACACUGAGGCAGUGUACCAUCGUCACCAGUGAUGACGAUGAUAACGACAUGCAGGAGGCCCAUGUUGAGGCAACCCCAUUUUCUACAGUGAGCUCAUGGGGUAUGACACCAGUUGACGAGGAGCACAUCAGUCAUUGAGGAGAGAAUACGUGAAUUAAUUUUGACUGUUAUAUGUAUGAGCUGCAGGGGGUCAGACUUAGGCGUGUAGCAGCAACAACAGUUGCACCCACAGCUGCUGGUCCAGCCGUGAUGUAUCUGUGGCCACCUUCACGUAUCUGCAGCUCGUCGUGAAACAGUAAUCGCUGGUCCCAUCAUCGUCUGCAGUGCAGCCCGGCUGUCGACAUCCCAGGCCAGCCAGUGGCAAGGCAUCACAUCUCUGGCCCAUUUGCCCUGUUCUGGGCAGCACGCUCCACAUCCUGGGCCAUCUCGUGUGCAUCAUCACUGGAGAUCUGCACAACAUCAAGUCGUGUCUAGCAACAGCGUCACCCUCACCCACGCUGUUAAGGAUCGCUAGGGACAGGUGAUGUAACAACAGUGAGACUGGGCCCCAUUUGCAAACAACAUCUAUGCAAAUCAGGAGGAAGCCCACUGUGUCCUCUGAUAUCAUGAGGCACAUUCACCAAGAACUGUACAAAGAAAAUUCCAGACAGCAUACCAUAGACAGCCACCAGAUGUUAAAAGCAUCAAGAUGGGGUAUGCAAAAUUUAAGGACACAGGGAGCAUCUGUGAUCUCCCUAGAACAGGCAGGCAUGGACCUAGUGUGCAGACAGUUCAGACAGUGAGAGAGACCUUCAUGAGAAGUCGCAAGAAAGCUGUCUGCAGAGCCUCAUGGAGUUGCAGAUUCCAGAUUCUGAAGGCAUCAGUGCUCUAUGGCACACCACCUCAUUGGAGGUUAGAUGUUCAUGCCUGUUUGGAUGCAACAUUUCCACUAAGAUGGAUUGGGCAUGGUGGUCCCAUCAACUGGCCUCCACCAUCACAGGACGUGACACCACUGGAUUUCUUCUUUCGGGGUUAUGUCAAGGACCAAGAUUACCAACCACUAGUGAACAACAUCGCAGCAUUACAUCACAGAAUUACUGACUUUAUAACAUCCAUCCUUCACAAAAUGUUGACUAACACAUGGGUGGAAUUGUAAUAUUGCCUGGAUAUUAUUUGGGCAAUGAAAGAAAUAGACAUUGAAA